rfam:Ornithorhynchus anatinus chromosome 3, whole genome shotgun sequence.
CACCUCUCAGAGUUGCCCCUGGAGAGUUUCCAGGACUCUACAAGACUCAACUAGGGAGGAAGAGUCAAGCAGAGACAUAUCCAUUUCAUUCCUAGCUUGGACAGUGGCUAGUGAGUAGAAGACAAUCUGCUACAAGU